AACUCCUACUGCCUCCUAUUCAUCAUCAUCAUAUUUCACUAGUAGUGCCUUUGCAGUUUUUAUACGCUUUUUGUAAACUAUGUUAAUCUGGCUGAGGAAUUUCCUUCUGUUGGCUGCUGUUCUAGAAUGCAGUAAACAAGAUUCAGUCAAUCAGCCCACGAGAGCUGAAACAGCUUCUGAACAUGAGAUGGUUAAACUUCACUGCACUUACAGUACCAGUGAUUCAUACCCUUAUCUUUACUGGUACCAACAUAAACCCAAUGGAUUCCCAGUUUACAUGCUCCAUAAACUCUCGACUGGAUCAGGCAGCAGUGAAAAAGAAUUUGAGGAAAGAUUUCAUGCAGAUCUCAACAAAUCCUCAAACUCAGUUUCUCUGGCAAUCAGGGAUGUGCCUGUGACUGACUCUGCUGUUUAUUACUGUGCUCUGCAGCCCACUGUGACUCAAACACAUAAACAUCCUGACAAGAACUAACAGACUAACUGACAGUUAUGGAUAGCUUAUUCAGAUGCAUUAGAAGGAGGGGCUUUAAAUAUCUAGUUUGAACCUGACAAGAUCAUUUAAUUUGAGACGGAAAGCAUAACAC